rnacentral:lncRNA from 1 species
ACCAAUCUACUAGGCUUUGAAUUUCAUGGUUAAUGUUUUGUUUUAAGUGCAUUCAAGCAUGAUUCCACCUUUUAAUUGUUAAUUGCAUGCUAUAGAUGUUGCUUAAAUGAACAUGUUUUCACAAAAUUAUCCUUCAAGUGGUAUCAGAGCCUAGGUCUAGUAGUUGGUGAAUCCUUUUGGGUUUUGUAUUAUCAUAGUUUAUGAUUUGAAUGUUGUAAUUGUUACAAGCUUUAUUCUUGCUUCUUUGAAUGUAAAUUUUGUUAGA